rnacentral:rRNA from 1 species
GUGGGGAAUCUUAGACAAUGGGGGAAACCCUGAUCUAGCCAAGCCGCGUGAUCGAUGAAGGCCUUAGGGUUGUAAAGAUCUUUCAGCUGGGAAGAUAAUGACGGUACCAGCAGAAGAAGCCCCGGCUAACUCCGUGCCAGCAGCCGCGGUAAUACGGAGGGGGCUAGCGUUGUUCGGAAUUACUGGGCGUAAAGCGCACGUCGGCGGAUUGGAAAGUUGGGGGUGAAAUCCCGGGGCUCAACCCCGGAACUGCCUUCAAAACUCCCAGUCUUGAGGUCGAGAGAGGUGAGUGGAAUUCCGAGUGUAGAGGUGAAAUUCGUAGAUAUUCGGAGGAACACCAGUGGCGAAGGCGGCUCACUGGCUCGAUACUGACGCUGAGGUGCGAAAGCGUGGGGAGCAAACAUGAUUAGAAACCCGUGUAGUCC